GUCCUCUGGGAACAGCAAGAUGCGUUGCAUCAGAAGGCAACAAAGCUGGAGCUCCCUGCUCUGUUCUAGAUAUGGGCUCUGGAGCACCCUGGGCUCUGAGCACGCUCUCUUUGCAGGUUCCUGUCUCCCACUGUUACAAGUGACCUUUUCCAGCCCCAGACACAUAUGAACCUAGGUCAAGUUCUAAGGACCACAAUGCUGAUCUAGUGGGUAUGGGGGUUGCUGAGAACACAGAGUAGCUGGAAUGUAGCCAGAGAAAUGAAUUGGUGGUUAAGAGCACCCAAGCUGGGAUCCCGGAACCCACAUCUGGCAGCUUACAACCUCCUGUAUAGCUGGAGUUUCUUUCUGGCCUGGUCCCACAGCCACUUUGCCCCAAAUAAGCACUCAGAUGCUAUAUUAAUUAUAAAACUGUUGGCCAAUGGCUAGGGCUUCUUACUGGCUAGCUAUCUCUUAAUUAUUAUCCCUUAACUACUAAUCUAUGUAUUUCUACAUGGCCUUAUCUUACCAGAGAACGCCUGGUGCGUCCUAUAUUCCCGGUCUCUGCAUGACUUCUCUUGCGGUCUCUCUCUCUCUGCCUUCCCUUUCCCAUCAUCUCCUUGUUCCACCUAUCUUCCUGCCUCUACUGGCCAAACAGUGUUUUAUUCAUCAACCAAUAAGAGAAAUAUAUAUAUAUAUUAUAUAUAUAUAUAUAUAUAUAUAUAUAUAUAUAUCCCCCAUCACUCCUGUAACUUCAGAUCCAGGCUGUUUGACAUUCUCUUCUAGCUUCUGUAGCAUACACAGAUACAUACAAAUAAAAACUAAAAUUGAAAUGCAAGCAAGCAGCUGGAGCCCACACUUGCUUUCUGACAUUUGUUUUAGCGAUGGGGUCUGGCUAUGUAGCCUAGGCUAGCCUCAGCCUCACUAUGUAGCGUGGGAUAGUUUUGAACAUGGGACACUCCCCCUGCUUCAGUCACCCAAGCACUGGGACCUCGGUUUGAGCCACCACUUUCAGCUCAUUUUAUUUCUUUUGAGUUUCUUAUUGUAGUGAAGAAGAAAAAAAAUCAGUGACUUGGAACCAACUGACUUGGAAUAUAAUUUCUCAUCUAGCCCUGCCCCUCUGGGCUCACUUGAACAGUCCCAUGGAGAUACAAUUCUGAAGCAGCACAGACAUCCUUUUUCGAGGACUCUCUGGCAAAGGCUAAGGCUUCUCCAUGGUGCAGCCGUAGCCUCCUGAAUCUCAGAGAAAGGUGAAGGAAAGAAUGGCCAAGCUACCCUGCACAGAUGCAACUGUGGAUCUUGGAAACCCUGAACCAACGCUCCGGCUCCUCUCUCUAGCUUGCAUAAUGCAAUUUAAAUCCCUUGUUAAUUUCCAGGUCGGGUUUCAUUCAUGAGGAUAAUCUUUAAUUGAUGUUAAAUAUAGGGAUCAAGUGAAGCACAUUAUUUCUUUUUUACAAAGUGCUAAUUGUUCGUGUUCUCAUAAAUUAUUUUCUCCGCUUGUGUAGCGGGUCUUAUGAAAGAACUUUCC
rnacentral:lncRNA from 1 species